rnacentral:ncRNA from 2 species
GAACGUUCCAAGGGGGGUCCCGGAAGGGGCUGAGAUUUCGCAAGUCCGUUGGCCUUCAAGGUUUUCGGUGCCGCGUUGACCCUUCGAACCUGAUCCGGGUCAUACCGGCGAAGGGAUCGGAACCCGUGCGCACG